rnacentral:rRNA from 1 species
UACGUAGGGUGCAAGCGUUGUCCGGAAUUAUUGGGCGUAAAGAGCGUGUAGGCGGUCCGGUAAGUCUGCUGUGAAAGUCGGGGGCUCAACCCUCGAAUGCCGGUGGAUACUGUCGGGCUAGAGUGCGGAAGAGGCGAGUGGAAUUCCUGGUGUAGCGGUGAAAUGCGUAGAGAUCGGAAAGAACACCAACGGCGAAAGCACUCUGCUGGGCCGACACUGACACUGAGAGACGAAAGCUAGGGGAGCGAAUGGG